CUCGGUUGGAGAACCAACCGGAAGCGUCCCCACCAAAGUUCGAAUCAGCGAAAGCGGGAAAGCUGGGAGGCGAGGUUUGAGAGGGGAGUUCGCUUCUCCGGUCCGCCUCUGUUUUUCUCAUCGGCCAUCGCCCUCGUCUCCAGCCAUGGCGAGCGGCGAGCCUCAGAAGUAACUCCUGGGCCAAGAAAUCACAGCGAGGGGCCCUCAAGAUCCGACCUCCGCUCUUUUUCCUCUCAUCUUUCCAACACGAUCGAUCGAUCCCCUCGCGAUUCAGAGCCUAGAGUUUCGGAUCUGAAGAAUACCACCUCCGGGAUCUCUACCAUUCUGGAUAUAUCUAAUGCCGAUCUUGAGAUCGACAACAGGUCCAAGCAGAUGGCUGAUGCCUCGAUCCAAGCUCAAGAUUCUCAAUCUCCCUUCUACUUUUUAUUUUCUUUUCAUUGAUCUUUAAUACCCUAUUGCUAAUUGGAAUUCUUGAUCGCUGACAAGGGUUUCUCUGCGGCACGAGGUAUCCUCUACCUCCUGUCCUUUUCCCUCUCUUUCUUUUCAGUACGAUCGAUCCUUCUUCCGCUGCUCGUGAUUCAGAGCCUAGGGAUUCGGAUCUCAAGAACGGAACCUGGAUCUCCUUACCAAUCUGGAUACCUCGAAUGCUGAUCUUGAGAUGCCUCAAGAUUUCUCAAUCUCCCGUAUACUGUUUACUUUCCUUAUAUUGAUAUCAAAUAACUUUUGCUAACUUGGAUUCUUGGUCGCAGCUGCACGAGGAGAUAUCAAAGAUUUGAUCAGAUCUGGCUGUACUGGAGAAUUAGAAGGUAUGGUCAGCAUUGCCUCAACUCUCUUUUCUUACAACUUCUAUUCUUCUGGAAGAUAUCCUACAGGUAUUUUCCUCUGUCUGAUUUCUUUCUUUUGUAUAUUCAGACUAGCACUUCUUUUGCAAAGUACUAUAUUCAAUUGAUCUUUUUACAUGCAUCAAUAUAUAAAUAUGGCAGCCAUGUUAUGAUAUUUUGAAGGAUUCUGUUUAUUCACCUUAACUUUGAACCAAAAUAUCUUCAAUACAAAGCACUUCAUUGUCUGCACUUUCUAGAAAGUCAUAGUUUGCUAAAUGGUAAUAUAUAAGUGAAAGAACAUACAUGUUCCAUAGAUUGCUUUGUAUGACUUUUAGUAUUUUAUAGAAGUUAAUUUUCUUCCUUUUCCUUUUCUAGUGAGACAUUCACGUCUAUCUACUGUGUGAUAGAGCGUACACAUAAAUGCUAUUUAUGCAUUCUGAACUAAUGUUUAAUUCCUCUAUAAAUGUAUAAUGAUAAGUACAGUUCUCCAUCACGUCCGUCUUGUGAUCCUUACAAAUCAUUUGUGAUACCAGCCACCAUUUGUUGAUCAUGAUCAUGGAAUAAAAUCAUUAAAUCCACUUGAUAUUCUUAAGGGUUAAUUAGAGACCAAGCGAUAUGAAUUUGAUUUGGGUUAAUGGUGGAGGUCCAUUUCCAACCCUCUAAUUACAUAUGUGACAUCGUAAACUGGCAAUCUAAGACCCCCUAUUUAGAAACGAGGACAAUGCUUGUUUUUCCAUGCUUAGUCUACUGAACAGAUUUUUGAGGUUAGAGUCAUAUUUCCUCUCCUAAAAGGUUGUAAUUUAUCAUUGUUGAAUUUGAAUUUUAACAACCAAUGAUGCAACUGAUAAAUACUCAUCCUAAUCCAAUCAAAUCAAAUCAAAACACUUUCGAUCUCCCUUUGCUUUAUACUUAUAAUUAGCCUUUUUUUUUAUCUUGUUUAUUUCUUUUGGAGCAUUUGACCAUGCUUUGUUGUUGAUUUAAGUUUUUUUUUCGGCAUUUGGAGGUUAUUUAUGGUCAUUUUAAGCCUUCCAGUCAUUUGGUGUAUGAGGAUAUCAUUUUAAGCUGCUGUCAUUUGGUCAUUUAUGGUCAUUUUUUUCCUUUUAUCUUGUUUAUUUCUUUGGUGUUUGUUUGACAUCAUUUUACAUGAGAUAUCAUUUGUUUUUUUAUUCUUAUUCUUUGUUAAUUGUUGAAUACCAUAGCUUAGCAAGAAAUCCACAACCAUUGCUUCUUCACCUUCUCUCUCUCUCUCAACUCUUCCACGGUCCCAUUCUUUCCACACACCCAGACCUUCCUCUGUUGUAGCGACCGAUGGAACUAUCUUUAAUUGUAUUACAUUCAAGCUAUACUUAUCCAUUGUCAAUUUAACUUGAUUGAAGAGCUUGAAGUUCUUUUACUAUAUUUCAUCCAUCUUAAGUCUUUCUCAAUAGUCUCUUUCAGGUUUUCAACCCUUCUUAUGGUUACCUUAGGCCACUCAUCUUGUUCUACUUUGUUAGUUUGUAAUAAUUUCUUGGAGACAUAUGAAUAUUGCUUAGAGCAGAAACUUUUGACUGCUAAUAACUUAGAACUGUCUGAAAUAUUGGCAGCUUGUUUUUUGUUUCCUAUUAUUUUCCAAAUUAAUGAUUUUCUGUUCCUUGAUUUAAUUAUUCUAGGAACUUGAUUUUUUUUAUCAUUGAUUUUAUUUUUGACCUCUAUUUCUACCUUGUGAAGAUUAUGUUUGUCUAUCUUGCAGCUUGUUAAGACCCACUUAUGUUCGGCUCCAUUUUUGAAUUAUGACUUUUAAUUUUGUGAUAUGAAUGAUCUUUCCUGCCCUACUUGUGAUUGAUUUCUUUCAAUAAGUCAUCGAUUCUCUUCAUCUCGUAACUUUCCUAGAAUUAUUGUUGAAAAUGCUUGUAUUUCGUAGUAAUGUCAACUUAUUUUUGGUAGAUUACUUGUUUUUUUCUGGAUUUACUUGUUAUUGUCUUAAUCUUUGUGUACAAUGGCUUGCCUCAGUUGUUCCUUUCCAACCCCCACCCCCACCCAAUCAAAUGCUUUGACAUUUUUUAACAUUUCCAUCCCUUAACUUAUCCUAUCCUAAUUUCACCAUUUGGGAGACAUGAACUCAUGCACUUCCAUUGCCUUAGACUUCACAUAAAUUAUGCACCAUUUGAAAAUUCUUCUCAUGAAUUUGCCUUUCUUGCCUUGUUUUCUCCAUACCACUCAAUGAACUUAAUCGAAGAAAAUCUUCCAUGUUGAAUUUUGCCUCUUUAAAUUAGGUCAGAAUUGUUUUCAUUGUCUUUUCAUUUAUCAUCAUAUCUAGCAUGUUCUUGUUGUUUCUCCUUUUUUUUAACCGCUUUUAAAGUUUGUAAUUAUACUUCAAUGCUGAUUGAUGCUUUUAGUUGGUUUGUUUGGAUUUGUUUCCAUUUGCAGAAAACUAAUACUUUAUUUAGUUUCUUACUUCAUUAGGCUUAUAAAAACUUCCUACAUUUCCUCAUGUGUAUGUUGGAGCCAAUUUUGUCAUUAACAUAUUGCACAUGUGAUGAUCUUUCCACUUUUAAUAUUAGUAUUUUUAAAACAUGUCAUUGAGAUUGAUCCUUGAAAGCUGUCUCAGUGCCUCAUUCUUGCCUACCUACACAUGCAAGGUCCAGCAUUCCCCUCUUGAAAUAAAUAAGUUUUUUUUUUUUU